rnacentral:rRNA from 1 species
CCCUUAGAUGUUCUGGGCCGCACGCGCGCUACACUGAUGCAUUCAACGAGCCUAUCCUUGACCGACAGGUCCGGGUAAUCUUUGAAUCUGCAUCGUGACGGGGAUAGAUUAUUGCAAUUAUUAAUCUUCAGCGAGGAAUGCCUAGUAGGCGCAAGUCAUCAGCUUGCGUCGAUUACGUCUCUGCCCUUUGUACACACCGCCCGUCGCUCCUACCGAUUGGGUGUGCUGGUGAAAUGUUCGGAUCGGCCGUUUGUCGCGGUUUCCGCGUCAUGUGGCUGAGAAGUUCAUUAAACCCUCCCACCUAGAGGAAGGAGAAGUCGUAACA